rnacentral:lncRNA from 10 species
CCUCAGGUUCUGCAGGGCACUGGCCACUUCUGCACAGCCAGGCCUUCCCACCCUACCCCCGAGAUUCACACAGCAGGGUCCACUCCCUCCCAGGCUUGGCUUCCCCAGGCUGAGGGCUGGGCAUUGGCACCCUUCCACAGACCACAUGAGUCAGCUCCCUCCCCACCCAACAAGGCCAGUGCUGGCUCUGUCUGAGGUCCCUUUGUUCAGGUCUCUUCUGAAGAAAGGCACCAGAGGCUCCAGCUCUGGCCAUAAUGCCCCAGAUGAAGCUUGACAGGAGAACUGGACACAACAGGCCAGAAUAUGCAUUCCAGGAGAGCAGGGAUAUUUGUUUUGUUCCCCGAUGUAUCCCCUGGAUCUAGCACAGGACUGGCAGGAACCCCAGAUUCUUCUCCAUGGUCGGAAUCAUUGCAAAAUAACUGACGGAGUUUCACCAUGUUGGCCAGGAUGGUCUCUGUCUCUUGACCUCGUGAUCCGCCCGCCUUGGACUUCCAGAGUGCUGGGAUUACAGGCAUGAGCCACCACGCCCAGCCUUGUUUUUGUAUAUUUUGUAGAGACAGGUCUUACUAUGUUGCCCAGGUUUGUCUUGGAGCUCCACUCCAAGGUGGAGCUCAAGCGAUCCACCUGCCUCAGCCUCCCAAAGUGCUGGGAUUACAGAUGUGAGCCACCAUGCCCAGCCUUCAUGGGUUUCCCUAGGAUCACCAGCUGUCAUGGACUGAUUUGUGUCUCUCCAAAUUCAUAUGUUGAAUACUUAACCUGCCAUGCGAUUGUGAUUGGAGAUAAUUCCUUUAGGGAAGCAAUGAAGGUUAAAUGAGGUCAUAGGUGGGAGCUUAAUCCAAUGGGACUGGGGUCCCUACAAGAAGAGGAAGACACCAGAGCUCUCUGUCUCCACACACAGAGAAAAGAGGCUGUAUGAGGACACAAGAGAAGGUAAUAGCUGUCUACAAACCAAGAAGAGAAGCCUCUCCAGAAAAUGAACCCUGCUGGAACUUGGUCUUGGACUUUCCAGCCUCCAGAACUGGGAGAAAAUAAAGUUCAAAAUAAAGUUCUGUUGUGUAAGCCCCCGAGUCCAUGGUAUUUUGUUAUGGCAGCCCUAGCAGACUAAUAACACCUGCUAAUUAAACUGCUUGUUCUCCACUUGUUGUCUCAGGGUCUGUUCCUAGGGAACCUGGACUCAGACAGAUGCUCUGCUUAAUUAGACCCCAGGGAAAUGUAAAUGAAAACCACGUGUGAUGCCAUGUCACAAGUACUAGGAUAACCAGAAGGAAAUCUGACCACAUCGGAUGCUGGUGAGGUUGGGAAGCUGUCAUAUUUAGCUGACGGAGGUGUGAGUCGGCAAACCACUUUGGAAAAC